CUCUUCCUCGCUGUCUGAGUCUCCCAAGAGCCUCUUUGCCUGGCUUUUCUGCUUACAGCUCCUCUCCUCCCUAGCUGACUUUCUCCGGCCAUUGCUCCUGGUUCUGGGUUUCCAAUCCCCCUUUUCCUCAUCCUCUUCUUUCUCUUCCUCCUCCACUUCCUCCUCUCUCUGCUCUUUCUUCUGGGCUAGGAUCUCCUCUUCACUCUCCUGUUCACUUUCCUUCAGGCUUUUAGUUCCUUUAUUUCCCUCCACCUUCUUUGCUGUCCUCUGAAC
rnacentral:lncRNA from 1 species